UUUGUUAAAAGUCUAUAAAUUAUUUUUGUGACACUGAGUAAAUACACACACACAUAUAUAAAUCCAUUAAUUUUCAGAAUUUUCAUUUGCAAUGACAUAAGUCUGUUCAGUAAAUAAUAAUGUGGGUCAUAAUCUUAGCAUAAUGGCAUCAGAUUUGGUAGAAAAGGAUAGUUGGCUGUAACUUCCAGCCACUCUUCUGUUGUUCAGCCUGUUGUUUCUUUCUGGGGUCAGGCUCUGACCACGACGCUGUUUGACCACUGAGAUACCUCCUGCUGCUGCUGCUGAGGGAUAUGCAUUACUUCUAAAAUUAUCUCUGUUCACACCUCUGCUUUGAAAACUGCUUCUACUUUGCAAUUAAAAGCUAUUGUUGCUAACAGUAUCUGGGUGCUACACAGCACCCUUAGUCCUUUGUAGGUGUUUAGAUAUGUGUGUAUUUUUUUCUGUUUUUAUGUUAACACUAAGAAUAACUAAAUCACACUGGGAAAACGUUCUUCAAAACACUGCAAGCUGCUGUAUUCUUUGUCUGCUCCCAAGUUUGUUAAAAAGGAGGUCACAGGUCUGACUGUCAGCAUUUGGGUUUGGAGGUCUGUAAGUUCCCUGGUCCGUGAAGCUUACCUACCUAUGCCCCACUUGUCCUUUCCAGUAUCUGCCAUCAUUUAUCUCACUGACCAUUCUGGUUUCUAGGAGGGAGAGAUGAACAGAAUCUUGUCUGUGCAUUGGUCUACAUUCAUUCAAACUAUGGAGACCAUGGCCUUCCUCUUCUCUCUUUUCACAUUGCAAAUACUUCUGAGGGACUUUUGCAUUCUUCACAUAAUCAAGAAUAUCUUGAUUUGCAAGGGACCCAUGAAGAUCAUCUAGUCCAGCUCCUGGCUCCACACCUGACAAUCCCAAAUAUCACAGCAUGUGCCUGAGAGCAUUGUCCAAAGGUUUCUUGCCAAACCCUGGCAGGCACAGUACUGUGGCCACUUGUGGUGGUUGCGAGGGACCCAGGACGAGGGAAGAGAUGAAUCUGACUCCAUGUUCUCAGAAGGCUGAUAUGAUAUGAUUAUGAUAUGAAAAGAAUGCUAUACAAAAACUAUACAAAACUAUAGAGAGAAGAUACAUCAGAAGGUUUAACAAGAAUGAAUAAAAAAAACCCUGUGACUGAUUCAGAGAGUGUGACACAGUUGGCUGUGAUUGGUCAUUAACUACAAACAAUUCACAUGGAACCAAUCAAACAUGCAUCUGUUGGUAAACAACCUCCAGACCACAUUCCAAAGCAGCAAACACAGGUGAAGAGAAUCAGAUAAUUAUUACUUACAUUUUUCUCUGAGGCUUUUCAAUUUUCCAGGAGAAGGGAUUUUUCAGAAAAUAUCACAGUGACAGCCAGUUCUCUAGGAAGCUUAUUUUAAUUCUUUCUCUUACAAAUAUUGCAAAUUGAAGUAACUUUAAUAUUUUAAACUAAGUUAGAAAGCAGAAAAAAAUGAAAUUAAUGGCAUGGAUUUGUGUGAGAAAUAAAAUCAUGUUUUGCUUCAGCCACUGUUUCAGCCAUAAGCAUGUGUGCUUAUGUCAUGCAGGCAAAGAUGUAGCUAGCAGGAGGCCAGGCCUCCUGAAUAUGGAGGGGAGAAAAAGAGAAGUGAAGUGAUGCUUAUUACUUCAGAGUCCUUAGUUGUGAGAGGGACAGAAAGGGGAGAGGAAAGGAGGUGUCAGUUUGAAGGUGGUAGGCAGUCAGAAAGAAUGAAUUCUUGAGUAGUCAGCCAAAGUGAAAAAGGAACAGCGACCCCACCAGCUGAGGAAGUGUCUAAAGUUUUGUAGGCGAAUGACUAUUUCUCACAGCUGGAAGGAUCAUCAUCACAGACAAAGCAAAUUGAAGGGAUCAGAAAUGCAGUCCACUCUUUCAAAGAAGCCGUCUUCACUCCUGAGAGUGGAGGGAGAAGAGAGAAUCCUGUCCUGCAGAGAAUGCGGCAAACAAGAAGGAGAUGAAGCUCUAUUUCGAAGGGCAGCGCAGAGGAAAUGGCUCAGAGGAACAUUCCAUGGUCCAGUGCACCUGAGUUUGUAAGUAAUAUAAAUGAUCUCUUACAGGCAUCUUUGUCUUCAUGCACACAAGCGCAGGACCAGCAUCCAAGAAAAAGAAACCAUAGGCUUAGGUUAAGAAAUGGUGAGCACAAAAAAAGAAUAGGCCUCCUGUCCCAGAAAAAAUACCCUUCACACUGCUGCAAGGAUUUGGAUAUCUGCCAUUUCUAACCUAGGUGAAAGGAUUCAGACAAAUGUUCCAAUGUUAACUGGUUAAAAUAUUAAGACUAAAGUGUUUCAAAAGCAGAAUAGGCUUUGUGUGUAUUAGCUGGAGAGGAGGUGAUAUCUGGAACAAAUGGAUUUUCUGAAAAUACUUUCUGGGAGUGUGAUGUAAUAGAGUUCCAGGAAGGAGGCAGAUACCUUAUUUAAUUAGACACUCUUUGUCUCCUCUGUUAUUUGUUUCCUUUCCUAUUGGCUAUUUUUCUCAGAAAGCAAUGUAGGAAUUAACUAGAACAAUGUAGGGGAAAAGUGACACUUACAGAAAUCAAAUGCUGAUUGUAUUUACAUAAAUGCGUGGGCAGAAAGGUUUAUGCACAAAUGUACGUUAACCACUUGGCAAUAUCUCCAUUUUUCCUCUUGUUUAAGAGGUUAUAAUUUAAGCAGUGAAAAAGUAUAACUUCUUACAUGCAAUUUUGCAAUUCUUUUUUUUUUUUUUAAGUGGAGGCAGUUCACCAUGUGGUUUGUGUUUUGUAGUAAUGCAGUAAGUAUUUAUGUAGCUCAGACUUUCCUGGUAACUGAAAGUUAUGUUUGUUCAACUGACAAGUCAUAACAUGCUCCUGUUUUAUUCUUACUGGGUCCUGAGGAUAUUUAAUCAAAAGUGUAGUCUGAACAAGUCUAGAAAAUUAGUGUUGUUAAUUAAUAACUAUUUCUGUUGCAAAGAUUGAGAUAUUUUCAGACAAAAUAAGUAGAAGACUAUUAUAUAGUGAAUGUUUUCCUAUUUCAAAAAUAUAAAUAUUUUAUUUAAAAUGUUAGAAAUAAACAUUUUCCUGCUGGUGUGGUAAAUAAAUGCCAUCAAGCCAUUCAGCAUAUUUUUUUUUUCAGUCUGCAGUUGUUUCUGUUUGCAAACUAUUAAUAAAACAUGUUUAGGUAUUAGAAAUUUUGGACAUGUCAGCCCAAUGCUUUUUGCUCUGUUUUAGCUAUCUGUUCCUCAGUCAUGUUAAUAAGGUUUCAUGAAAUCCUGACAGAUCAGAUUGCUUCUCAUCUCUGGUCAGCUGAAACUUAAAAAGGGGAAGGGAAUCUGAGUAUUAUUAAUGAUAGCUGAGUAAGCAGGGCUAACUCAUAUAUUUUUUUAAUUUAGCAGGUUAGCUGCCCAAAUACCACAGUUAACAAACUUUGUGUAACUCCACUUCUGAAACCUUUCAUGAUUAGUUCUAUAGGCCAUUUGAAAACAGAGAACCAGGCAUUCUCAUGAAGCUAUUUUAGAAAGCAAAUAUAGCUAUGAGUGAGCAAAUUCAAGGAAAUUGAAUUUGACAAUAAGUGUGGAAAUUGAAAAGACCCUAAAAUCAGCUAAAAUAUAUUUAUUUUCCUAGCUGUAACAUUCAUACUGUG